GGUUCUUUGGCGCAAUGGUAGCGCGUCCGCCUCCUAUUUAUUAUGGGGUUCCUGCCCGGAUAGCGGAAGGUUGUGGGUUCGAGUCCCAUGAGAAUCG
rfam:Fungal sp. No.11243 DNA, scaffold: sccafold0004.